AGCAGUAAACUGACAGAUAAACAGUGCCAGAUUAUUGAAAGACACUGUGAGUAAAUGUCCAGCGGCCCGUCAAUGUCUGCCUGAUCUUCAUCUCGUUUUUGCCCCUCGGAUUUCUCUGCUCUGCCUUGCCCGCAUUGGAUCCUUCACUGGCUUCUGGACACCAACCUUGCUCCUGACUACUGCUUUCUGCCUCUCCUUCGGAUCCUGUCGCCUGUUUCUGCUUCCCAAGUUCUGACCUAGUUUUCGCCCCCUGACCACCGCACUCUGUCUCUUCACUGGGAUUACAAACCUGAGAGCCCGUGUGACGUUAUCCUGCUGUCACCUAACCACUGCACUAAGGGACUGAAAUUCACCUUCUGUAUUCUCCCACGGAUUCUGAAAAGCCGGCGUGGCUCCGCUCCAUUCAGUCUCACUCUACUUCACAUGGAUCCAGUUGUGUUGGGGAGAGGGGGAGGUUGAGACACUGCUGUCUGGACUGGUGCAGAUCCAACAUUUGCCUGAACAAUUGUGUGUUUUAUUAGGAAGUUUUUGUCUCAGCCAUGGCAAGGACAAGGACUUUAAGCGCAAAACCGUGAACUUUUGAACGGGGUCUUCCACCCAUUUCAUCCAAUGAAGGCAGUCUGAUUAUGGGCAGCUGCUCUCUGCCUCCUGCAUCAUCCCGCAGAUGGUGGUUCGCUUAAGGACCAUCAAUAAAUUUCCAAAACUA